rnacentral:rRNA from 13 species
UUAAGCGACUAAGCGUACACGGUGGAUGCCCUGGCAGUCAGAGGCGAUGAAGGACGUGCUAAUCUGCGAUAAGCGUCGGUGAGGUGAUAUGAACCGUUAUAACCGGCGAUUUCCGAAUGGGGAAACCCAGUGUGAUUCGUCACACUAUCAUUAACUGAAUCCAUAGGUUAAUGAGGCGAACCGGGGGAACUGAAACAUCUAAGUACCCCGAGGAAAAGAAAUCAACCGAGAUUCCCCCAGUAGCGGCGAGCGAACGGGGAGGAGCCCAGAGCCUGAAUCAGUGUGUGUGUUAGUGGAAGCGUCUGGAAAGGCGCGCGAUACAGGGUGACAGCCCCGUACACAAAAAUGCACAUAUUGUGAGCUCGAUGAGUAGGGCGGGACACGUGGUAUCCUGUCUGAAUAUGGGGGGACCAUCCUCCAAGGCUAAAUACUCCUGACUGACCGAUAGUGAACCAGUACCGUGAGGGAAAGGCGAAAAGAACCCCGGCGAGGGGAGUGAAAAAGAACCUGAAACCGUGUACGUACAAGCAGUGGGAGCCUCUUAAUGGGGUGACUGCGUACCUUUUGUAUAAUGGGUCAGCGACUUAUAUUCUGUAGCAAGGUUAACCGAAUAGGGGAGCCGAAGGGAAACCGAGUCUUAACUGGGCGUUAAGUUGCAGGGUAUAGACCCGAAACCCGGUGAUCUAGCCAUGGGCAGGUUGAAGGUUGGGUAACACUAACUGGAGGACCGAACCGACUAAUGUUGAAAAAUUAGCGGAUGACUUGUGGCUGGGGGUGAAAGGCCAAUCAAACCGGGAGAUAGCUGGUUCUCCCCGAAAGCUAUUUAGGUAGCGCCUCGUGAAUUCAUCUCCGGGGGUAGAGCACUGUUUCGGCAAGGGGGUCAUCCCGACUUACCAACCCGAUGCAAACUGCGAAUACCGGAGAAUGUUAUCACGGGAGACACACGGCGGGUGCUAACGUCCGUCGUGAAGAGGGAAACAACCCAGACCGCCAGCUAAGGUCCCAAAGUCAUGGUUAAGUGGGAAACGAUGUGGGAAGGCCCAGACAGCCAGGAUGUUGGCUUAGAAGCAGCCAUCAUUUAAAGAAAGCGUAAUAGCUCACUGGUCGAGUCGGCCUGCGCGGAAGAUGUAACGGGGCUAAACCAUGCACCGAAGCUGCGGCAGCGACACUAUGUGUUGUUGGGUAGGGGAGCGUUCUGUAAGCCUGUGAAGGUGGCCUGUGAGGGUUGCUGGAGGUAUCAGAAGUGCGAAUGCUGACAUAAGUAACGAUAAAGCGGGUGAAAAGCCCGCUCGCCGGAAGACCAAGGGUUCCUGUCCAACGUUAAUCGGGGCAGGGUGAGUCGACCCCUAAGGCGAGGCCGAAAGGCGUAGUCGAUGGGAAACAGGUUAAUAUUCCUGUACUUGGUGUUACUGCGAAGGGGGGACGGAGAAGGCUAUGUUGGCCGGGCGACGGUUGUCCCGGUUUAAGCGUGUAGGCUGGUUUUCCAGGCAAAUCCGGAAAAUCAAGGCUGAGGCGUGAUGACGAGGCACUACGGUGCUGAAGCGACAAAUGCCCUGCUUCCAGGAAAAGCCUCUAAGCAUCAGGUAACAUCAAAUCGUACCCCAAACCGACACAGGUGGUCAGGUAGAGAAUACCAAGGCGCUUGAGAGAACUCGGGUGAAGGAACUAGGCAAAAUGGUGCCGUAACUUCGGGAGAAGGCACGCUGAUAUGUAGGUGAAGCGACUUGCUCGUGGAGCUGAAAUCAGUCGAAGAUACCAGCUGGCUGCAACUGUUUAUUAAAAACACAGCACUGUGCAAACACGAAAGUGGACGUAUACGGUGUGACGCCUGCCCGGUGCCGGAAGGUUAAUUGAUGGGGUUAGCGGUAACGCGAAGCUCUUGAUCGAAGCCCCGGUAAACGGCGGCCGUAACUAUAACGGUCCUAAGGUAGCGAAAUUCCUUGUCGGGUAAGUUCCGACCUGCACGAAUGGCGUAAUGAUGGCCAGGCUGUCUCCACCCGAGACUCAGUGAAAUUGAACUCGCUGUGAAGAUGCAGUGUACCCGCGGCAAGACGGAAAGACCCCGUGAACCUUUACUAUAGCUUGACACUGAACAUUGAGCCUUGAUGUGUAGGAUAGGUGGGAGGCUUUGAAGUGUGGACGCCAGUCUGCAUGGAGCCGACCUUGAAAUACCACCCUUUAAUGUUUGAUGUUCUAACGUGGGCCCCUUACCGGGGUUGCGGACAGUGUCUGGUGGGUAGUUUGACUGGGGCGGUCUCCUCCUAAAGAGUAACGGAGGAGCACGAAGGUUGGCUAAUCCUGGUCGGACAUCAGGAGGUUAGUGCAAUGGCAUAAGCCAGCUUGACUGCGAGCGUGACGGCGCGAGCAGGUGCGAAAGCAGGUCAUAGUGAUCCGGUGGUUCUGAAUGGAAGGGCCAUCGCUCAACGGAUAAAAGGUACUCCGGGGAUAACAGGCUGAUACCGCCCAAGAGUUCAUAUCGACGGCGGUGUUUGGCACCUCGAUGUCGGCUCAUCACAUCCUGGGGCUGAAGUAGGUCCCAAGGGUAUGGCUGUUCGCCAUUUAAAGUGGUACGCGAGCUGGGUUUAGAACGUCGUGAGACAGUUCGGUCCCUAUCUGCCGUGGGCGCUGGAGAACUGAGGGGGGCUGCUCCUAGUACGAGAGGACCGGAGUGGACGCAUCACUGGUGUUCGGGUUGUCAUGCCAAUGGCACUGCCCGGUAGCUAAAUGCGGAAGAGAUAAGUGCUGAAAGCAUCUAAGCACGAAACUUGCCCCGAGAUGAGUUCUCCCUGACUCCUUGAGAGUCCUGAAGGAACGUUGAAGACGACGACGUUGAUAGGCCGGGUGUGUAAGCGCAGCGAUGCGUUGAGCUAACCGGUACUAAUGAACCGUGAGGCUUAACCUU